UACGUAGGGUGCGAGCGUUAAUCGGAAUUACUGGGCGUAAAGCGUGCGCAGGCGGUUUUGUAAGCCAGAUGUGAAAGCCCCGGGCUUAACCUGGGAAUGGCAUUUGGGACUGCAAGGCUAGAGUGCGGCAGAGGAGACUGGAAUUCCUGGUGUAGCAGUGAAAUGCGUAGAUAUCUGGAGGAACACCGGUGGCGAAGGCGGCAUCCUGGACCGGCAUUGACGCUGAACAGCGAAAGCUAGGGGAGCAAACGGG
rnacentral:rRNA from 1 species